rnacentral:rRNA from 1 species
CCUACGGGUGGCAGCAGUAAGGAAUAUUGGUCAAUGGACGCAAGUCUGAACCAGCCAUGCCGCGUGGAGGAUGAAGGUCCUCUGGAUUGUAAACUUCUUUUAUUUGGGAAGAAACUCCCGAUUUCCAUCGGGAUUGACGGUACCAGAUGAAUAAGCACCGGCUAACUCCGUGCCAGCAGCCGCGGUACUACGGAGGGUGCAAGCGUUACCGGGUUUCACGGGGGCUAAGGGGUGCAUAUAAGGGAAGGUAGGAAUCUCCGGGCUUAACCCGGAAACUGCCAUUGAUACUAUUUGUCUUGAAUACUCUGGAGGUGAGCGGAAUAUGUCAUGUAGCGGUGAAAUGCUUAGAUAUGACAUAGAACACCCAUUGCGAAGGCAGCUCACUACGGAAAUAUUGACGCUGAGGCACGAAAGCGUGGGGAUCAAACAGGAUUAGAUACCCCAGUAGUC